rnacentral:tRNA from 1 species
GCCCUGUAGUUCAAUGGAUAGAACAAGCGUUUCCUAAACGCUAGAUCUAGGUUCUCCGCCCGGCAGACGCCA